rnacentral:lncRNA from 1 species
UAUCUUUUCUAUAUCCUAUCAAUUUAAGCCCUCACUCUGUUACCAGAUUUAGUCACUUUUCCCAUUUUGAACCUAAUUUUUUAAUCUACUUUCUUAUUCCUCAUUACUUUUCUUUUAUGUUUAAGUGUAAAGCAAUGAAUCAGCAAAGCAGGGUGUGGUGGCACAUGCCUGUGAUCCCAGCACUCAGGAGGCUGAGGCAGGAGGAUUGCUGCAAGUUCGAGGCCAGCCCGGGCUACAUACUGAGUUCAAGGUCAGCCUGAACUGCAUAGCAAGACUCUGUCUCAAAAACAAAAAUCAAACAAACCAACAAAACAAACAAGAAAUGAAUCAGCAUCAGAAAUUCCAAAUUGACACGAAUGAGCGAUUUGCUGGAGAGAGGCUGAGAUUUUGGAAAUUUAUGACAUUUGUUAAAAACUGG